GACGAACGCUGGCGGCGUGCCUAAUACAUGCAAGUAGAACGCAGUUGCGAACGGGUGAGUAACGCGUAGGUAACUGCCUCAUAGCGGGGGAUAACUACUGGAAACGGUAGCUAAUACCGCAUACUGUGAGAUGGACCUGCGUUGUAUUAGGUAGUUGGUGAGGUAAAGGCUCACCAAGGCGACGCUACAUAGGCGGCCUGAGAGGGUGGUCGGGCACACUGGGAAUGAGACACGGCCCAGACUCCUAACGGAGGCAGGAGUAGGGAAUCUUCGGCAAUGGAGGGAAGUCUGAACGAGCAACGGCGCGGGAGUGAAGAAGGUUUUUGGAUCGUAAAGCUCUGUUGUUAGAGAAGCGGUAACUAAACAGAAAGGGACGGCUAACUACGUGCCAGCAGCCGCGGUAAUUC
rnacentral:rRNA from 1 species